CCUUUCAGUGAUGAUGUCAUCUCACUGUUUCGAGUGACAAGCAAUGAGAAAACUUUCUUUUACAUGCACUACCAUCUGAGAUGGG
rnacentral:snoRNA from 1 species